CCUCCUUAAACGAUAGUGUCACUAUUUCUUCAAGUGUUCACACAUCUGUCUUUGUCUUAUUCGGUUGAUGCAUAGUUAUGGGGCUAUAGCUCAGCUGGGAGAGCGCUUCCCUUGCACGGAAGAGGUCUGCGGUUCGAUCCCGCAUAGCUCCACCAGUUUCUCUUGCGAGAUAGGCCUGUAGCUCAGUUGGUUAGAGCGCACCCCUGAUAAGGGUGAGGUCGGCAGUUCAAAUCUGCCCAGGCCUACCACUUGGCAUCACUGAAGUCAGAAAGAAGAGCAUAUUGUGUUCUUCUUUCUGGUUUUAACGACCGGAAAGUUCUUUAACAAAGGUAAAUUAAGCCUGAGUCUUUGGACUGAAGGUAGCACACCCAAGGCGGUAUCGGGUGAGCGACACCAGUCCUUUAAAUUAAAAUGGUUCUGUAAUAACCGGGUUUCCAAUUUCCCCCGUUGCUUGCAAACAAGUUUGUAAAUACAACCACUUGUGGAACUUUAAGCGUUCAUCAAUCCUUUCUGGGCGGGGCGG
rnacentral:tRNA from 1 species